GACCUCCCAUUUUGAUCAGAAAUUCCAAAACCUAAAAGCUUGAUUCGAUCUUGAUCGAAGCUCUCUCUCUCUCCUUCCUUUUCCACACAGACACAGACCUCGCCAGCACCAGAGCUUACUCCGAUCUCUUGGUUUUCAUCACUGCGGCGAAGUCGAUAUCUGCUUCUACAGUAUCGGGACUGACUCGCCGGUAAUCGGAUUGCUCCAGAUCGUUCAGGUCGAUCCGGCGUCGACCUUGAAGGAGACGAUGAAGGUUGCAGUCUCCGGGAACUGCUCCAUUAUUAGCAGCUUGCCGUCGCGGUACUCGAAGAGGAAGAGCAACAGAGCAGUAUACCAAAUUAUGCACUGGAGCACGAUGACCUGGACCAUAAGGCUGCCGGACUCCGGGAUUUGGUAGCCGUACAUGGUGAUCAACAAAGGAAUCCCUAUGACCAGAGUUGCUAUGAGUGUCGAUGAUAUUGUUACUUCUGGAGCCAAGUCAUUAUUUUUCCUUGAUUACUUUGCUACAAGCCGCCUUGAUGUUGAUCUUGCUAAAAAGGUAGAGGUCACGUAUUGUGUACGUCAGCUUCUAUAAUUCUAUAAAGAUAUACUACCAACUAAUUGCAGUUUAUUUAGAUUUUUUUUUUUGAUAAGUUAAAUGGUCAACUUUGCUC